rnacentral:rRNA from 1 species
GUGGGGAAUAUUGCACAAUGGGCGAAAGCCUGAUGCAGCGACGCCGCGUGAGCGAUGAAGUAUUUCGGUACGUAAAGCUCUAUCAGCAGGGAAGAUAAUGACGGUACCUGACUAAGAAGCACCGGCUAAAUACGUGCCAGCAGCCGCGGUAAUACGUAUGGUGCAAGCGUUAUCCGGAUUUACUGGGUGUAAAGGGAGCGUAGGCGGCGUGGUAAGUCAGAAGUGAAAGCCCGGGGCUCAACCCCGGGACUGCUUUUGAAACUAUCAUGCUAGAGUGUCGGAGAGGUAAGUGGAAUUCCUAGUGUAGCGGUGAAAUGCGUAGAUAUUAGGAGGAACACCAGUGGCGAAGGCGGCUUCCUGGCACAAUACUGACGCUCAUGUGCGAAAGCUAGGGCAGCGAACGGGAUUAGAAACCCGGGUAGUCC